AUUGAACGCUGGCGGCAGGCCUAACACAUGCAAGUCGAGCGGAUGAAGGGAGCUUGCUCCUGGAUUCAGCGGCGGACGGGUGAGUAAUGCCUAGGAAUCUGCCUGGUAGUGGGGGAUAACGUCCGGAAACGGGCGCUAAUACCGCAUACGUCCUGAGGGAGAAAGUGGGGGAUCUUCGGACCUCACGCUAUCAGAUGAGCCUAGGUCGGAUUAGCUAGUUGGUGGGGUAAAGGCCUACCAAGGCGACGAUCCGUAACUGGUCUGAGAGGAUGAUCAGUCACACUGGAACUGAGACACGGUCCAGACUCCUACGGGAGGCAGCAGUGGGGAAUAUUGGACAAUGGGCGACAGCCUGAUCCAGCCAUGCCGCGUGUGUGAAGAAGGUCUUCGGAUUGUAAAGCACUUUAAGUUGGGAGGAAGGGCAGUAAGUUAAUACCUUGCUGUUUUGACGUUACCAAAAGAAUAAGCACCGGCUAACUUCGUG
rnacentral:rRNA from 1 species